rnacentral:rRNA from 1 species
AUUGAACGCUGGCGGAAUGCUUUACACAUGCAAGUCGAACGGUAGAGGGGGCAACCCCUUGAGAGUGGCGAACGGGUGAGUAAUAUAUCGGAACGUGCCCAGUCGUGGGGAUAACGUAGCGAAAGUUACGCUAAUACCGCAUACGAUCUAAGGAUGAAAGCGGGGGACUCGCAAGAGCCUCGCGCGAUUGGAGCGGCCGAUAUCAGAUUAGGUAGUUGGUGGGGUAAAGGCUCACCAAGCCAACGAUCUGUAGCUGGUCUGAGAGGACGACCAGCCACACUGGAACUGAGACACGGUCCAGACUCCUACGGGAGGCAGCAGUGGGGGAAUUUUGGACAAUGGACGCAAGUCUGAUCCAGCCAUUCCGCGUGCAGGAUGAAGGCCCUCGGGUUGUAAACUGCUUUUGUACGGAACGAAAAGGUUUCUAUUAAUACUAGGAGCUCAUGACGGUACCGUAAG